UACGUAGGUCCCGAGCGUUGUCCGGAUUUAUUGGGCGUAAAGCGAGCGCAGGUGGUUUAUUAAGUCUGGUGUAAAAGGCAGUGGCUCAACCAUUGUAUGCAUUGGAAACUGGUAGACUUGAGUGCAGGAGAGGAGAGUGGAAUUCCAUAUGUAGCGGUGAAAUGCGUAGAUAUAUGGAGGAACACCGGUGGCGAAAGCGGCUCUCUGGCCUGUAACUGACACUGAGACUCGAAAGCGUGGGGAGCAAACAGG
rnacentral:rRNA from 1 species